UUUGCGCCUCCCAGGGUAGCAGCUCCAAUCUCAAAAAUUGGAUAAUGACAGUGGAGCCGUUUCCCGUGGGGUGGUUGAAAGGAGUGGGGGAGGGCGCGGAAAAAAGAUGACACUACUAAAUAAAAUUGGUGGGCGCACGCAAAGAAAUUGAGGAGGGGUGAGAGCUUUGAUUAAGAUAAAUUUCGAUGGGGGUGAAGCUUCUCGCUAAUGCACUACAAUUAACACAAAGUGGCGUGUUUAGACUCAAUUCUCGCCCAACUGCUGGCGCAAAGAGCCACACGUU
ensembl:ncRNA C33D12.17 ncRNA